rnacentral:rRNA from 1 species
UACGGGGGGGGCACGCGUUGUUCGGAAUUACUGGGCGUAAAGGGCUCGUAGGCGGCCAACUAAGUCAGACGUGAAAUCCCUCGGCUUAACCGGGGAACUGCGUCUGAUACUGGAUGGCUUGAGUUUGGGAGAGGGAUGCGGAAUUCCAGGUGUAGCGGUGAAAUGCGUAGAUAUCUGGAGGAACACCGGUGGCGAAGGCGGCAUCCUGGACCAAUAUUGACGCUGAGGAGCGAGAGCCAGGGGAGCAAACGGG